CAGUCGCCGCGGUAAUACGGAGGGUGCAGGCGUUAAUCGGAAUUACUGGGCGUAAAGCGCGCGUAGGCGGUUCGUUAAGUCUGUUGUGAAAGCCCCGGGCUCAACCUGGGAAUGGCAAUGGAUACUGGCGAGCUAGAGUGUGUCAGAGGAUGGUGGAAUUCCCGGUGUAGCGGUGAAAUGCGUAGAGAUCGGGAGGAACAUCAGUGGCGAAGGCGGCCAUCUGGGACAACACUGACGCUGAGGCACGAAAGCGUGGGGAGCAAACAGGAUUAGAUACCCCCGUAGUCCCUGUCUCUUAACA
rnacentral:rRNA from 1 species